AGGGCCAAGCAGCGUGGCUCCCGAGGGAGUUGGUGGGCAGCAGGGGAGACAAUAGCGAACAUGCUGUGUGGGCUCAGCCGGGAGACCCCUGGAGAGGCGGACGAUGGGCCCUACUCCAAAGGAGGCAAGGACGCAGGAGGGGCCGACGUUUCCCUGGCGUGCCGCAGACAGAGCAUUCCAGAGGAGUUCCGAGGGAUCACUGUGGUGGAGCUGAUCAAGAAAGAAGGCAGCACGCUGGGCCUGACUAUCUCAGGUGGCACCGACAAGGAUGGAAAGCCCAGGGUCUCCAACCUGAGACCUGGGGGACUUGCAGCCAGGAGUGAUCUGCUGAACAUUGGUGACUAUAUUCGGUCUGUGAACGGGAUCCACCUGACCAGGCUCCGCCACGAUGAGAUCAUCACCCUGCUCAAGAAUGUGGGCGAGCGCGUGGUGCUGGAGCUCCUGAGAAUAACCCCAGGAUCAUUUCAAAGACAGUGGACGUCUCCCUCUACAAGGAGGGCAAUAGCUUUGGCUUUGUCCUUAGAGGUCAGUGAAAGAAUUGCCCUUGGUAUUGGGGCAGCAAGAAAGAGGCUAAUACUAAUUCCAUGUGUGUGCUGUUUGGAUUUGAAUGUAAUUUAUGUGUAUCUCAGUUCUGACUUUGAAGAACACAGGACCGUUAAGGUAAGUAUUCAGUGGGAAAAUCUGCCAAGCAAUGAAGUAGGCUUGGUUGGGGAGAGUGAGAGGAGAAAGUUGUACCGGAAAAUGAUGGUGAAAGCUGCUACCGAGACUGAGAACAAAGUCUGGAGCUUCCUAGAGAUCAGGGAAAAGGGGAAAUAAGGUGAGGUCACAGAAGGGAGGCAAGCCAUUUAACAGAGAGAAGACUUUGGUCAUGUUACCCACCCCUUGCACCAUCUCUUGGGAGGGCGAAUUUAUUGUUGGUGUCUCAUAAGAGGGUCCAUGGAUAGCAAGGACAAGGUCCUCAAACAGGUUUUAUUGAAGGAGCCUGCUCAGGGGCUGUGUGGGAGCCUCUGGAUGGGAAGGGGUGGGUGGAUGAUUCCUGCUUCUUGUCAAAUCCUGUCCAGGAGGUGCCCAUGAAGAUGGGCACAAGUCCCGCCCGCUUGUCCUGACCUACGUGCGGCCCGGUGGCCCUGCCGACAGGUGAGCCGAGGCAGAAGAAAUCCACACACUGCACUGACCUGCCCCAACUCCCCUGCGAAGAAGGUGGAGUGGGGUCACCAUGCCCCUUCCCCAGAUGAAGAGAUCGAGGCCCUGAGGGAACACUCCCUGCCCGGUGUCAUUCAGGGAGUUGUUGAU
rnacentral:lncRNA from 1 species